UGGGGAAUCUUGCGCAAUGGGCGAAAGCCUGACGCAGCGACGCCGCGUGAGUGAUGAAGGCCUUCGGGUUGUAAAGCUCUGUGGAGGGGGACGAAUAAGCCAUGGCUAACAUCCACGAUGAUGACGGUACCUCUUUAGCAAGCACCGGCUAACUCUGUGCCAGCAGCCGCGGUAAGACAGAGGGUGCAAACGUUGUUCGGAAUUACUGGGCGUAAAGCGCGUGUAGGCAGUUUCGCAAGUCGGGUGUGAAAGCCCUGGGCUCAACCUAGGAAGUGCACUCGAAACUGCGAGACUGGAGUCCUGGAGAGGAAGGCGGAAUUCUCGGUGUAGAGGUGAAAUUCGUAGAUAUCGAGAGGAACACCGGUGGCGAAGGCGGCCUUCUGGACAGUGACUGACGCUGAGACGCGAAAGCGUGGGGAGCAAACAGGAUUAGAUACCCCGGUAGUCC
rnacentral:rRNA from 1 species